AGUGAACGCUGGCGGUAGGCCUAACACAUGCAAGUCGAACGGCAGCACAGUAAGAGCUUGCUCUUACGGGUGGCGAGUGGCGGACGGGUGAGGAAUACAUCGGCAUCUACUUUUUCGUGGGGGAUAACGUAGGGAAACUUACGCUAAUACCGCAUACGACCUACGGGUGAAAGCAGGGGAUCUUCGGACCUUGCGCGAUUGAAUGAGCUGAUGUCGGAUUAGCUAGUUGGCGGGGUAAAGGCCCACCAAGGCGACGAUCCGUAGCUGGUCUGAGAGGAUGAUCAGCCACACUGGAACUGAGACACGGUCCAGACUCCUACGGGAGGCAGCAGUGGGGAAUAUUGGACAAUGGGCGAAAGCCUGAUCCAGCCAUACCGCGUGGGUGAAGAAGGCCUUCGGGUUGUAAAGCCCUUUUGUUGGGAAAGAAAAGCAGCAGGUUAAUACCCCGCUGUUCUGACGGUACCCAAAGAAUAAGCACCGGCUAACUUCGUG
rnacentral:rRNA from 1 species